AGACAGUUGUGAACCAUCAUGUGGGUGCUGGGAACCAAACCCAGAUCCUCCGCCGAGAACAAAUGAAUGCAUUUAACAGCAGAUAAUUCCCCAAAGCGUGAGGAUCACCCUGUUGGACCACUUCCACUGACAGCAUACUGUGUUAUUUCAUGUCCAUACAAGGGAGCACUGGAUCUGGAGAGAUGGCUCAGCGGUAAAGAGCACUUGCAGGACUGUGAUCCUGUCCCCAGAACUACAUGGCAGUUGGCGGUCAUCUGUAACUUUAGUUCUGGAGCACCUGGGUGUCCCGCGCUACCGUCUCGCCAGCAAGAACGACGCAGAACACUCGGAUCCUUCUGCAGUAAAGCUUUAAUGCAUCUUGA